GAUGAACGCUGGCGGCGUGCCUAAUACAUGCAAGUCGAGCGGACAGACGAGGAGCUUUCUCCUCUGACGUUAGCGGCGGACGGGGGAGUAACACGUGGAUAACCUACCUAUAAGACUGGGAUAACUUCGGGAAACCGGAGCUAAUACCGGAUAAUAUAUUGAACCGCAUGGUUCAAUAGUUAAAGACGGUUUUGCUGUCACUUAUAGAUGGAUCCGCGCGGCAUUAGCUAGUUGGUAAGGUAACGGCUUACCAAGGCAACGAUGCGUAGCCGACCUGAGAGGGUGAUCGGCCACACUGGAACUGAGACACGGUCCAGACUCCUACGGGAGGCAGCAGUAGGGAAUAUUCCGCAAUGGGCGAAAGCCUGACGGAGCAACGCCGCGUGAGUGAUGAAGGUCUUCGGAUCGUAAAACUCUGUUAUUAGGGAAGAACAAAUGUGUAAGUAACUAUGCACGUCUUGACGGUACCUAAUCAGAAAGCCACGGCUAACUACGUG
rnacentral:rRNA from 1 species